UUUACUUAUCCAUUAAACAUUGAGGGAUUCCUCUGCCUGGCCUGGAUUUUGGUGCUAAGUAUAUCCCUUUAUUCCAAUAUAUCAGUAGCUCUUUUAAAAGUGGUUCUCAAAACUUCUCAUAAUCCCAAAUCCUCAUGGGAGUAUUUUAUUAGAAAGUGUGGAACAGGUCCAGAGGCAGAGAGGGACAGGCAAUUCUGGUGGGAGAGAACAGGAGUGGUUUGUUCAGGGCUGUCACUGGAUAUUGGUUGACCAGGCACCUCAAGUCUGGUGUGUGUGUGUUGCUUUCUGUUGGCCCUGCCUGUUUCUUGUGGUCCAAGCUAACUGAAAUUCCAAGAAUUUCAUUUCUCAGCCAGUAUAUAAUGGGAAUUUAUUCUGUCCCCUCAACCAUCCUGCAAAGCUAGGGGUACAGCAUGGCCAGUGCAUCUCUGACUCUUCACAGAGCUCCCACUGCAGUAUUGCCAGUGACAGCACAGUGGUUGAUGAAAUCCUGGGUUGGUGUGAGGGGAGGAAGGGAAUUAAUAGGGGUGAACUUUGGGGUUGCAUCUCCCUAACUAUUGUCCUUCCCAUUUUCGUUUCUCCAUUCUUUCAAUACAUAAUGUGUUCCUUGCAUGUUAUGGGGGAGAAUGCCAGAGUACAGGAGUGGUUGGCUCAGCCCAGCUAUCCUCACUGGAGCUCCAAGCCUUUUGAAGGCUGUGUGGCCUAUAAAAACAAGGGAGAGGGGAGGCUGACUAGUCUUGAGGACUAAAAUGGGGCAUCUAAACAUGAGAAAGGGCUACUGUUGGCCCUAGCUAGAGUGAUCCCUUCACUGCUCUGGGUCCCCUUAGCUGGGAAGUCCCCUUAGCGACAGAUGUGUGUGCUAGGCAACAGCACCCUCUGCUGGCCUCCCUUGGUGAUACAUCUGUGUCGUUCCUGCCUAUGGGGUGUGGCAAAAAGGGACCUCAAGGUCUGUCUUCCACAUCUCCCAGGUCCUGAGAGAAUGUAAACUAGGAAGUUCUUCCUCUUGUCUGGUCUCAGCCAGUCUCUGGAUUAUGAUACCAGCUUACAGAUCUCUGCAGUCCCUUACCCUUGUCCCCUUCUCCAAUCCUUGCAGGUAAAAGGAGCUCAAGUUGCUUAAUAUAGUUUAUUCAGGCCCCGUGUGGCCUGGCACCUAGUGACCUUAAUGGCUUCAGCUCUUUCAGCUUCCCUUUUGAACUUCAGUGAUUCAUUCUGGGGAAUUAUAAAUUCCUUUGGAACCUAUACAGAAUGCCAUGAGACUACCUUGGGAAAAUGUGUAUUGAGGGUUUUACUUAAAGAUUCAUGACACUGGCUGGACACAGUUGUGCAAGUCUGUAAUUCCAGCAAUUCAUAAGGCUGAGGCAGAAUUGCAAGUUCAAGGCCAGGCUCAGCAGCAUAGCAAGACCCUGUCUCAAAAAGGACUGGAGAUGAAACUCGAUGGUAAAGUGCCCCUAGGUUUAAAUCCACACUACCAAAAAUUUAAAAAGUUUUAAUAAAAGGGCUGGGGAUAUAACUUAGUGGUAGGGCAUUAGGUGCAAUCCAGUACUGGCCCCCCUUCCAAAAAGAAGUUUAAAAUUUCUCAAAGUUGGAACACCUUUCAUAUUCUUCGAUCAUACUGAAGUAUUUACCGCAACAAGAACUAACCAGGACAGCCACCCUGCCUGAGACCUUUCUAAACUUGCAUUCCUGAUCCUUCAGGUCUCAGCCUUGUCUGCCUCCCUCUCAGAAGCCACCUCUGAGCCAGCCUGGGGAGGGUGACUUCCUCAGCCCCCCAGGCCAUUCGUGGUGGUCACUAGUAACAUGCCUGUCUGCUGGUAAGAGACCCCCUAAAUAUUAAUAGUCCCUUCCCAACCCCUAGGGCAAAUCAGGCCCACAGUUGUUUUUCCUUCACAUCUGAAGAGUUCCUCCAGGUUCUGGAAGUACAGAGGGGCAAUUUUAUCCCCCACCUCACCACCCAUCUCAUCUAGCCAGGGAGUGGGUGUGAUGAUAAAUAAGUCAAGACUUAGAAAUAUUCCAUGAGAUGGUGAAGAAACGGGUCUAAAAAAGCACAAACUCUUAAAAAAAGUUACUGUAACAGCUCCAGGUCCUGGAGGGUGGUCGCCCAACCAUUCAUCCCAAAUAUAAAUACGCCAGGAGUUAAGAGUCACAGCAAUGAACAAAUCAACCAUGGUUAGGGUCCCUCCAGAUUUUCCAAUUUCAGACAGGAGAAUCUGAACGCCCUUUCAACCCUGCGCCCCUUUCCUUCCUGGCUACAGAGGGCGGGACCAAGGCAGACGCAUGCGCAGAGGAAGAUCCUCCUUCGAGCCGGAACUUCGGUGCCCGGACGCGUAGGAACACCCGGCCAUUGUACAGUGCACUGCCGGAAGUGUCUCUGAGUACUUGGGAUUGAGAUUGGUGUUCGGAGACUGCGGCGGCGGUUAAAUCGGAGAAACUCUGGAUGGAGGCUGUGGCGGCGGAGGUGGCGACAAAGGAACCCGAUGAAGGCCACACGGAGCCCAAACCUGGGCACUGGGGUGAGCUGGCCUGGACACCAGUCCCAUCUAGACCAGAGGGCAAGGUGGAAGCAGCAGAGAGCCCACCAGGGGCCCUGGACAGUGACAUCUCCAGGGCUGAGAAUGCAGCAGUCAGUGCCAUGCUGCAUGCUGUGGCUGCCAGCCGCCUGCCUGUGUGCAGCCAGCAGCAGGGUGAGCCCGACUUGACAGAACGUGAGAAGGUGGCCAUCCUGGGCCAGCUGUACCAUGAGAAGCCACUAGUAUUCCUGGAGCGCUUCCGCACAAGCCUCAGAGAGGAGCACCUGGCCUGCUUUGGCCACCUGCGUGGUGACCACCGUGCCGACUUCUACUGUGCUGAGGUGGCCCGGCAGGGCACUGCUAGGCCACGCACCCUGCGAACUCGCCUGCGUAACCGGCGCUAUGCUGCACUGCGUGAGCUCAUCCAAGGGGGUGAGUACUUCAGUGAUGAGCAGAUGCGGUUCCGGGCGCCCCUGCUCUAUGAGCAGUACAUUGGGCAGUACCUCACCCAGGAGGAGCUCAGUGCCCGCGCCCCAGUGCCCCAGCACCCCAGACCUGGCUCCCCUGGCACACCUGCCUGCCCACUCUCCGACCUACUGCUCCAGUCUUACCAGGAGCGAGAGCUGCAGCAGCGGCUGCUCCAGCAGCAAGAGGAGGAGGAGGCCUGCCUGGAGGAGGAAGAAGAGGAGGAAGAUAGUGAUGAAGAAGAUCAGAGAGCAGGCAAAGACUCAGAAACCUGGGUACCCGACUCGGAGGAGAGGCUGAUCCUACGGGAGGAGUUCACCAGCCGGAUGCACCAGCGCUUCCUAGACGGCAAGGAUGGGGACUUUGACUACAGGGGCUUAAAGACACUGGGAUGAGACUUUAAAGCAAAGCAAAGCAGGGUAAGGAGCAGAAGGAAGCAGAGCCUGGAGGCCGGGGAGGGGCCUGAGGAGCUGACCUCUGAGCACGGGGCCUCAGGAGGUGAGGCACAGUGGACGACAACCCUGACUUUGACAACUUGGACAUUGUGGCACGGGAUGAGGAAGAGAAGUACUUUGAUGAGGAAGAGCCUGAGGAUGCUCCCAGCCCAGAACUGGAUGGGGACUGAUGGCUACUACCCCGAAGCCAGCUGCCCACCCUUCCCAGCCCCAACAAGGCAGCUGAUUACAGGCCGGCUCGGUGACUCUUUCUCCAGAGGGACGGCAGUGUGGCACCCCUGCCCCAUGGGUCUGGUGUCACAUCAAACAACACCACUACCUCUUUCUGGAGUUCCCUUCCCUUCUCCUUCGUUCCCCACUCUCUCCUGUCCCAUCUGUCUGUCCCUGUCUCUCGCCAUCUAUCACUGCCCCCUUCCUCCCUCUUCCCAGGUCUGGCCACUGUGUCUACCUCCCCCAUUCUCCCACUCUGUGCCCUGGGCUCUGUCCCCACAGCAGGGGAUAAAUGUUCCUCCUGGGCUGAGGCCAGCCAGUGGGACCCAUGGUGGCUGGACUGGCUAGAGUGAUUCCAGUGCCCAACAACCUGGGAGAGGGGGCUGUGCCUGGGCCCCACACAGCUUUGCUCUGGCUCCUGGCUCUCUACCCUGCUGCCCUCCAUCUCUGCCACAUCUGCAACUCUGCUUCUGUUAGGUUCCCAUCUUUCUUCUGGCCUCUCUCUGGGCCCAUUGUUCUUUCUGCCUGUACAUUCCAUUUCUCUCUCAGCCUCAUGCUGCCUCUGUCCCUUUCUGUCUCAGUCCUUAUCUCUCUGGGUUUCAGUCACCCCCCCCAGCCCAGCCCUGUGCCUGUGCACACAGAAACACACACACACCGCCAGACCUGGCUGCAGAGAGCAGCAGAGCCCUGUCUGCAAGGGGCUGGGAGCAAGGGGGACCCAGAGGGCUGCGCAGAAAUGGGUCUAGGGGUCAUGUGGCCUGCCAGCUGGGGUGUGCAAAGGGGACUCUCCCCACCCCACUCUCCCACCCAGCCACAAGUUUCCCUUCCUUCGCUUCCUCUGCCUCCCUCUCCCUCCCUCUCCCUCUCCUGUUUACACUCCCCAAAUACGCACAGGCUGUUAUCAUGGGCCCUGAGUCAUCCCACACACGCAGCCUGCCCCAGCAGCAUCCCUGCCCCCAGCCAGCCACAGGGCCCGCCCCACAGAGCCCCCUGCCGCCCUGGGCUAAUGGGAGCCAGAUGGCUGCCUGUGACUCAGCCAUAGCUGUGGGAACCCAGGCGUCCCACCUUCCCAUGCCCCCACACCCAGCCCUUGCUCCCCCGGCAGACAGAAAGGACAGGCCACUUUGGGGGUGGUAGCUCAGGCCAAGGGUUGAUGAGGCUGAGCCCAGGAGCACUUCACUUGUGAGAAGGAAUUGCGACAUCCUGCCCUAGCCAGCCUUGAAGGACCCUCAGAAGUGCCUCCUGGGGCUAUGGUUCCUGACCCCGGCCUCUAGAUCAAGAACGAUCAGCACCAGACAUGGAAAGUUAGAGCUGAAUGGAGGCAGUGGAUGUGCAGAUGGAGAAACUGUUAAAUAAUGAGAGCUGCUAAGCAGUCGGGACCUGUGCCAGGCCCUGCCAGGUGCCUGAUGCUGGGCUGAAGCCUCCAAGCAGACAUUGGCUCUUUUGCAGCUGGUCAAGGAGCCCGGGAACAGAUGCUUCAAGGCCACUCAGGCCUCUGAGGCAGAGCUGAGAUGGGAACCCAGGUCCCAGAAACCAUCCUGCCAGCUUCCUGUUAGAUAUGGGGCUACCCAAUCAAGACAGGUAGAGAGGUGGGAGGAGGACUGCACACUGUGACACCAGGGGGCCUCCCAAGAGCCAGGCGCUAUCCUUCACAGACCAUCUCCACACAAAAGCCAGGGUCACUGGUUGUCACAGCAGUCCUGUGCAGGGUGUGUGUGGUCAGUGUCACUAAUUCUGUCUCCCGGAGGAGAUGAAACAGUAGGGCCCAAAAUAAUCCAGCCUGCUGGACUCGGGACCCCUGCUGGGGAAAAGGAGCUCCAGACAUGAGAAUGUCUCCUGGGUACGUGCUCCAUGGGCACUUUUCCUUGGUGUAGGUAUCAGCCUUUCUUUAGUCUAUUUGAUCAUUAAAUUUGUUGGUGAUAUACUUUGCCAUA